UUCCACAUUGCUGAAUGACAUUUUAAUAGUGGAAAAAUAACGCUCCAAAUUAUCUACUUCAUCUCUUCCUAUUGUCUUUUACUGGCUGGGAACGAGUGCUGCAGCAAAAGCAGCCCUGGCCCUUCUGGGAGGGGUUUGUGGUGCCUCCAGCCCAUGGCAGGGAGUGGGGAGGCCAGGAGGGGCUGUGCCCCUGUGCCCAGCACCCCAUGUGCCCAGCAGGUGCCCAGGAGCAGAGCUGGGCACAGCAAUGCAGCCCUGGCACCCAGCACCAGGUGCCACAGGUGCCCAGGAGCAGAGCUGGGCACAGCAAUGCAGCCCUGGCAGCCAGCACGUCCCUGAGGGGCAGCUCAAGCGGGGGACGGUGUCACAGCAAUGGACACACAGAAGCCUCACACCAACUUUUAUUGUCACUGAAACACAAAUCUCCAUGAGCUCCCUGCCCAGGGGAGAGCAGCCCCAGCCCUCACAGGAGUGUUCCUUGCCCAGGGCCAGCCCAGCCCUGCAGCCCAGAGCUGAGCCAUUCCCAGGGGUUUCCAUCCAGGGGAAGGAUUCCAUCCUCUGGACUGAAGGCACACAAACCAGGAGCUGCACUGUCCUUGUGCCACUCAAUGGGCAGCCCCUGGCACGCUGCCCUCAGUGGGUCAGGGCUCCUUCCAUUCUCUGCUCUUGGCUGAUGCUGCUUCCCUUCCCAGCAGGAACGGGCUCCAGGACAGCUCUGGGUAAGGCUUUGCUCAAGGAUUCUGAGGGAAAUGUGCUUGUCAGGUGCAGGAACCCACCCAGCUCUGCCCGUGGGUCCCCAUGUGCUGCUGAGGGCACAGAACUCCUGAGAGGCAGGGCUGGGACUGAGCUGCCAAGGACAGCAAUGUGGGGACAGCAGUGCCAGGGGCAGGACAGCCAGGGAGGGCUGCAAAGGGAUGCAGAGGGAUGCACGAGGGCUGCACAGGGAUGCAGGGAGGCACAGCCCGCUGCCACCUCGGCUCCUUUGCCACCCCCACAAGGAAAGUGCUCCCCUGGCUCCGUUUGGCACAAAUGCUGGCUCAGGAAACGCCUUUGGAGGGUUUGGUAAGAACCUUUGGCAACAGGGCUUGAGGCCCCAGCUCCACUUCUGGCUGGCAAAAUUUACAGCAGGCAUGGGGAGAAACACUGUCCUUUCAAACACACCCUGAGAGAAACCUUUGUCAGACAGAGCUUAGCAAACACCACUGCCACAAGGCAAGUUUCAUUUUCACUUUGGGAUGUGGGACUGGCAGCACCCCUGGCACCGAGUGAAGGGCCUAAAACCCACACGGGCUGUUUGUGCCACGGGCUGUGGCAGUGACAGGCAAGGACUGUAAAUAUUCAGUAAUUGAGGAGAGCCAAAGGAAACACAAUGGGAAACAUACUGGAAACAACAGACCAAAGUAUUAAAGUCUGCAGCUGUCAGCAUAAAGAAACAGCUUUGCUGUAAUGUCAGAGAAUCACAGAAUGGUGUGGCUUGGGAGGGACCUUAAAGCUCAUCCCAUUCCUCCCCCUGCCAUGGCAGGGACACCUUCCACCAUCCCAGGUUAUUCCAGCCUGGCCUUGGACACUGCCAGGGAUCCAGGGGCAGCAGGAGGCUCUGGGCACUCUGUGCCAGGGCCUCACCUCCCUCCCAGGGAAGAAUUCCUUCCCAAUAUCUCAUGGAGAAGGGAACUUUGGGCAGUGUCUGUGAAAUACCUUGAACUCAGAGCAGCUGUGCUCUGAGACCUGGGGCAGUCCAUUUUCUAUAAAACUGGAAUAAAAUCAUGCCAGCCAGUGUAUCCUAUAAAACC
ensembl:lncRNA